UAGGAGAGGAUUAACCAGUGGCUUUAUCUUGAUGCCAAGCUCUGUGCAAACAAACCACACAGGAACAGUAAAAGCCAAACAAAUACGCCUGACGAUGCUGAUGCUCCACACCAGGUAUGCCUUGUUUGACACUGUGGAUUGCAAGACUCUUGAGCACAGAGCAGGGU